AUAUAUAUAUAUAUGUAUACAUAUUGUGUGCGGUUCUGUCAGAAUAAGAAUAUUUUCCAAGUGAAAGAUGCCAACUUGUCUCAAACAGCCAACAACACCUGAAUAAAACGUGAGCAAGAAAAAAAAAAUUGGUGUUUUUCUUUGUUUUUGUAGAAAUAAAAAUUUCAAAAUUCCCACCAAAAAUGUUAAAGAAAUAUUUUUUUAUUUUAAAUUUUUAAAAAGCUUGCAAAUCAAUUGAAUAUUUUUUUAAAGUCUUGCUUGUGCUUAUGUAUUCGGCUUUUUGCUAUAAUUGUGUGUAUGUUAUUUUACUGAUUCCACAGCCAGUAGGCUGUGGCCAUACUGGGACACACACACACACACACACACAUAUAUAGCGUCAUCAUCAUUUCAAGAUCCACUUAUCCAUGUUUACAUGAGCCAGAUGAGAUUUGUUUAGGCAGAUUGUCUGUGACUGGAUUCCUUUCCUGCCACCAACCCUCACUUGUAUUUCCGUGCAAGGCAACAUUUCACCAUGGCUGGACAUGUUUUCAUGGAAGACUGGAAACAAGAGACACCGCUUGUAUGAUGGUGACACUCAUCUCCACAACUAUCAUGCAGUGUCAAGACAAGGGGACAUUUGCACUUGUAUGUGACAAGCUUCUUCAAGUUUCCAUUUACCAAAUGUACUCUCAGACUGAACCUGAAGCCCUAUGGCUGGGAAACAAGCUUCUUAACAACACAGCCACACCUGCACACGCAUAUGUGUGUGUGUGUGUAUAUAUAUAUAUAUAUAUAUAUAUAUGUAUACACACACUCACACAUGCAUACUUGUGUUUGUGUAUGUAUAUAUAAUAUACAUAGGUCUUACUUAAGUCAGUAUAGAAAAACAGGUGUACAAUGAAUGAAUGAAUACACAAUAAUAUACAUUCAGAUAUAUAUAUAUCUUUUACUUAUUUCUGUCCUUAAACCGUUGCCAUGCUGGAGCACAUACUUAAAGGGUUUAGUCAAACAAAUUAACCUCAGUACUUAUUUUGUUUUCUAAACCUGAUACUUAUUCUAUUGGUUUCCCUUUGCUGAACUGCCAAGUUAUGAGGAUGUAAACAAGCCAACAGCAGUUACCAAGUGGUAGUGGGAGACAUACACACAUAGACACAUAUGUAUAUGAUGGCUUCAUUCAGUUUCUCUCCACCAGAUCUGCUCACAAGGUUUUGGUCUGCCUAGGGCUGUAGAAAAAGAUAGUUGCCCAAGGUACCAUGCAAUGGGACUGAACCUGGAAUCAUGUGGUUGGGAAGCACACUCCUUUAACACAGCCAUGCCUAUAUAUAUAUAUAUAUAUAUAUAUGUAUGUGUGUGUGCUGUUUGUUUGCUUCAUGCGCUUGCUUGAUGGAGCUGGGGUCAUUCCAGGUUAGUGGUCCCAGAGAUGUCAUUAUGCAUAGAGCUGAUCAGGUCCACCAGUGCUCUCUGUUGCUGGUAUCCCCAUGCCAACCCCUCUCUAUACUCCAAGGUGAUAUUGAGUCUCUGGAGACCUUCCUUAAUCAUGUCCAGCCACCUGGCAUGAGGCCUGCCAUGAAGCCUCUUCUAGCCUGCAGGUGCUGUGGUGAGUGAGAGUAAAGCCUUGAUAGGAUUAUCUAUCUAUAUAUAUUUAUAAUUUAAUAUUUUCAUUUAAUAUCUAGUCUUUUAUAAAAAUAAAGCGAAAAACCACACCACCAGUGUUAUUAUCAUCAUUAUUGCAAGCUGAAUAAUUCUGAUACAGCUUCAAAGAAUUCUACAGAAAGUUUUGGCAAAUUAUUUCCUGCAAGAGGUAAGAAGCAACAGCUUGGAAUGUGUUGGGUCUUAUCUGUUAGCCAGUUUCAAUUCACAGUGAAGCCAAUUCUCAUCAUACAAGCAGUUAAUAAGCCUUGAUAAAAGCAUGAAUAUCACAAGCUCCAUACAUCUGUAUCCACUGAAAAAUGCCAAAAAAAUAUAAAAAUGUGAAAAAAAAAAUUAAAAAGAUUAAAAAAAAAAAUAUUUUGUGUACUGCUAGAGAAAGAAAUCGCAAAAUCUUUUAUGUUUUGUAACUUUUUGUGAUUAUUUUUCAAUCAAAUUAUAUUGUUGUGGGUUGUUUUUUAUACAAACGUUUAUAUCUUUUCCUUUUAAAUUGAAAAACCUCAAUAAAGAUAUUGAUAAUAU
rnacentral:lncRNA from 1 species